rnacentral:rRNA from 1 species
UACGUAGGGUGCGAGCGUUGUCCGGAAUUAUUGGGCGUAAAGGGCUCGUAGGCGGUCUGUUGCGUCAGGAGUGAAAACUCGGGGCUUAACCCCGAGCCUGCUUCUGAUACGGGCAGACUAGAGGUAUGCAGGGGAGAACGGAAUUCCUGGUGUAGCGGUGAAAUGCGCAGAUAUCAGGAGGAACACCGAUGGCGAAGGCAGCUCUCUGGGACGGUACUGACGCUGAGACGCGAAAGCGUGGGGAGCGAACAGG